UUCGAACUUUUUAUUUAAUUU
rnacentral:miRNA from 1 species